GGCGGGGCCUGGGCGCGGCAGGGGCGGGGCCGCCCCGAGAUUUGCGGAGCGUCGCCCCGAGCGGGAGGCUGAGCUGGGGGUUGCCGCCGCCUGGGCUCCCGGUUCCGGGCGGCCCCGUGCGCGAGCGCAGGUACGGUCCUCGGGCGCCGGCUGCUUUCUGGAUCGCUUUACUGCAAAAGGUGGCUGUUAUGAACCCUGCUGGACCUCGAGAGUUUGACUUAGGACCCGUUGCGAGAGCAAAUCAUGGCCUUUAGGGAUGCUCGUACCAGAAGACUUCCAGUCCACGUUUUUAUUAGUGAUCAGAAGGUUCCCUGCCCCCACCCCGACGUGAGUGCAGUGAUGAAACGAAUACUGAGCAGGUACAUGUGGCAGGGCGGUUAAUCCGGACAGCAAUCCCAUAAGGAAGCGUCUGUUAUCCCCGUUUGUACAACCGGUCAACUAGUCCAGAGAAGUGCUGUUUGUUCUGUGCUACUUUUAGAAGAAGCCCCCCCCUGCAAAUAGAAGUCAGUGGUGAUCGCAUUAUUCUCCAGAGGACCUGGGCUUCUACUUCAGAGAGAGAAUGAGGACCAUCAAGCACGGAUGUCUACAAUUUUUGCCCAACCAUCUCAUCCAAACCCCACAAAUUACCUAUAUCCACACCCAGCUUUUUGCUGGUCCAGACCAUUUGAAAGUAAAUCCAAGAACACGCUUACAAGCGCGUUCUCAGCCGUCACACCUGCGUACCCAGCAGAAGUCUGCACACCACCUGCAGAACGCUUCCAGGCCUCCUGCUUCCAUCUCUGCCAUGUCUCACUUUCAGCUCUCCUGAGUCCUCAGUUUCCCUCCUCAGUUCAGCUCCAUUCAGAAGCUGCUAAUAUUCACCUAGGCCCCAAAGUUGACAGCCAAUAUUGAACCAACCUUUUAUUAUUAAAUAUUUCUUUGGUUUCAAAUGAACACUAUUAUAAAUAUCUUUUCAUAAAUCCUUGUCCAUGUCCUUACUGCCUCAAGUCCUGAAAAGUAAUCAAAGAUCACUUGCUCUGGGGAAGGCAGUUACCAUGUCAUGAAGACAUUAUCAAGUAGCUUUAUCAGACGCCCAUGUGUCAAAGAGCUGAAUAUCCUGCCAACAACCAGCAAGAAUCUGCAGCCUCUGCCAAUCUCCAUGUGACUGAGCCAUCUUGGAAGCAGGCCUUGGGAUGAUGCAGACAUCUUGACUGCAACCUCAAUAGAGACCUUGAACAAGAACCCCCAGCUGAGUCGCUCCCAAAUGCCUGACCCAUAGUAACUGCGUGGUUUGAUGAGUGGUGCUAAGUCCACGCCUAGGACCUGAACCUGAGAACCCCAGGCCACCAAAGCAAAGCAUCCAACCUAACCACUACACCACUGGGCUGGCCCCAGUUACUCCAUAAUUUUCAAGGCCAUCUCCCUUGGUACCUUGAGUUCCAUCUGCACCCUCUAGAGUGGAAAGUUUUUGAGACCAGCUGUUUUAUCUCCUGUGUUCACUGCUGUGUCUCCAGUGCCUAAGACAGAGCCUGACAUACAAUGGGUGCUGAGCUGGAUAACUCUCCACAGAUGAUCCCUUGACUAUACUCUUAGCACCAACACUUGACAAUAGUUGAACAGUGAUGAGUUCUUGACCCAAAGGUGUUCAUCUUAAAAUCAGCCUGUAGCUUAUGACACGGCCUGGAAUAAGGGCUCUGCGGACAGUCUCCUGGAAGAUGAUAGCAGUGUCAGACACUCAGAGAGAGAUACAGAUAACAGAAUGGCAUGGAAACAAAGAGGCUUUACAGAAAGAAGCAGUGAUCAGAAGCCGUGAGGUAAAAGUAAAAAGCCAGGUGGAAGUGGCAGUGAAAUAGAAACAGCCAUGGUAGAAGUAAAGAUAAGUUUAGCCACAAAUAUGGAGGAGAAGCUAGAGUAGAGAGCAACGGGCACUUGCUGCUGAGGGGUCAUCGGACGAACAGGACUCGCAGCUGGAUUAUUAUAAUUGUGGAGACACUGCGCACCUGAGCAUCCUGACUGGCAUUCCAGUUUCCCUGGAGACCUGGCCAUAUGACUGUUGAGAGGCGGUUUGUUCAUAUGUCCCUUUGUAUCAACUGAAAUUACCUACGUAUGGCUUUUUUGCUGCCUGAAAAGACCCAACUAAUGCAAGUAUUUUUUAAAAAUAUUGCUAGAUUUAAUUUUCCACUCUUCGUUUGGAGGAUUUAGCUAUAGUUUUUCUUCUGUGUGUGUGUGUAUGUGUGCACACGUGCAUGUGCACGCAAUAUGUGCAUACUAACUUUGUAGGUUAAAUUUUUUCUGUUACAUCCUGUUAACUUCUCUGGUGGGCCCUCUAUAUUAUCUGCCUUCUCAGUGAUACUUUGCUAGGUUUGGCAAAAUUACUUGCAAUUUACAGGUGCUAUUGUUGCAUAACUUUCCUUUACCCUUGUAUUUGAUGAGUGUAUCUCAGAUAGAGAAUCUGUGUUUUGUUAAUCCAUUGCUUUGUGAAACUGAGUGCCAAAUUCCAAAUAAAAAUUCAAAACUUUUAAACACUGUAGUGCAUUUCUUAGCGAACUCUACUUUCUGAAGUAUCCAGAAUUCACCAUAUGGAAAUGUUAUACAAUUUCUCUUGAACAGGUUUGUUUAUAAAGUUUAGUAUCGUGGUGAGUUCAGGAAUCCAGGUGUCCAAAGAUUGGUUGUAUUAAUGACCCCGCUAAAUGGCCUCCGUAAAUCCAUAAUGUUUGUUCUAUAACCUUCAAGUUCCCUCCAACUCGGGGUCUAGGCUUGGGUACGUGACUGGCUUUGGUAAUAGGAUGUUAGCCAGCAUGACGUAAGAAGAGACUUGGAAAGUGUAUGUGCUUUUUGCUGCUUUUUUGUGUGAUUGGCCCGGCUCACCAUUCCCCUCUGCUGUGAUGUGAGAACAUGCCUGGGCUAGCCUGCAGGAAGGAUGUGAGAGGCAUGUGGAAGAGAGCUGUGCUGUUCCAGACAACCCAGCUAGAGCAUUCUAGAUCAGCCGACUGCCAGCUAGCCCUCAGAGUGGGGAGGAAAUCCAGCUGAGACCAGAAGAACAUUCCAGCUAAACCAUUCAAAAUUGUUCACCUGUAGUGAGCAAAAUAAAUGCUUAUUAUUUUAAGGAACUGUGUUUGGGAUGGUUUGUUACAAAGCAUUAUUGUGGCAAUAGAUAAUACCGAGAUGCUGAAAUAGUGGUUAAUCAAUGAGGAGACCUCCCUGUGUAUUUGAGGUGCCAAGUCAGCAAUAAUAUUCACAGAUGGUCGAUAUUUUCAUAUAUUCAUAUCUCUUUUUGUUUUCUUCUGUCUCUGGAAAAACUCCUUUACUGCCCCAGGAACAGUAAUGGUACCAGAGAAUGUUUCCCUCUGGCACUGUAGUAGCGUUUUAGGCACUAGGCAUGUCAAAAAAUAUGUCUGACUUUGCUCAUGGUGCGGUGUUUUGAUAUUUGAAGUGUUAAGAAGGUAAAUGGAUUUUAUUUGACUGGAAUGGUAAAGAUAAGACAUUCUCUGCCUCAAAUACUUGCCUGGAUUUAAGUCGUUGGUAAGAAGAAAAAAAAUAAUUAGGCUGGUGAAUGCUUUCAGUUAUGCCCUUUCCUGAUGACUCAUAGAUUUUAGAAUGCCUUUAAAGAAAUCUUGGAAAUACAGGCUGUCAGGUGAAGUCCUUGCUCUUAUAUUAGGCAAAUAUAGGUUUUUAAAAAGAAAACACAGAGGCUCCAGUUCAAGUUAACAAACAUUUAUUGAUCUCCUCUUACGUACCAGGCAUUAUAAAUACAAAAUCAGUGAAAAUACCCUCUGCACUAGACGAACUUAGAAUUCAGAAAAGAGACAGACAAAUAAAUCACGAUUCCAAUAUUCUAUGGUAAGCACAAUGAAGGCUCAUGCACACAAAGCUUAUGGUGGUCGAGGGGGUGGGGAUGGCAGGCCAGGUUUGUGUUUAAGGAAUUUAAAGGAUGAGUAGAUUUAGGCAAGUAAAAGAAGCGCUUCGCUGAGAAAGGAUUCCAGCAAGGAGCAAUAGCAUGAACAAUGACAUGGAAUGUGGAGCAGCAUGAUUACAUGGGAAACCACAGAACACAAUGGGGGACUGGGAGUUAUACUUGCCAAAAUAUAAUCAAAGUCCUGUUAGGUAUUUGCUUAUGUUUUCAAAUGUGCAAUUAUUUUUGAUAAUAGAGUUUUUGUUUUACACGAAAGUAAUCUUUGAGUAUCUUCUGGAUUUCUGUGAAUUCCGUGUGGACAGGGACCAAGUUCAUCUUCUCUCCUGCAUCUCAGCACCAGCACAGUGCCUGACACUUUGUACAGAUGCAAUACGUGUUUGUUGAGCAAAUUACUGAAUUCUCGAAACUGUCAGCCUUUGCCAAAGUCCUAUAGAAAUUUGUCUUUUAAAUUGUUCUUUUUAAUGUACUCAUAAAGAUGUAUUUUCUUGAAUAAUUUGUCUUUCUCAAAUUGUCUUCAAUAAAGGAUAGCUAAAUCUUCUGAUUUAUAAUUCUCCCUAUUUUUUUCUUUCAGUUUUAUUGAGAUAUAACUGACAUACAGCCCUGUAUAG
ensembl:lncRNA